rnacentral:rRNA from 1 species
AACGAACGCCGGCGGCAUGCCUAACACAUGCAAGUCGAACGAGACCUUCGGGUCUAGUGGCGCACGGGUGCGUAACGCGUGGGAACCUGCCCUUAGGUUCGGAAUAACUCCCCGAAAGGGGUGCUAAUACCGGAUAAUGUCUUCGGACCAAAGAUUUAUCGCCUUUGGAUGGGCCCGCGUUGGAUUAGCUAGUUGGUAGGGUAAAAGCCUACCAAGGCGACGAUCCAUAGCUGGUCUGAGAGGAUGAUCAGCCACACUGGGACUGAGACACGGCCCAGACUCCUACGGGAGGCAGCAGUGGGGAAUAUUGGACAAUGGGCGAAAGCCUGAUCCAGCAAUGCCGCGUGAGUGAUGAAGGCCUUAGGGUUGUAAAGCUCUUUUACCCGGGAUGAUAAUGACAGUACCGGGAGAAUAAGCUCCGGCUAACUCCG